rnacentral:rRNA from 1 species
GCUAAGGUCCCAAAAUAUAUGUUAAGUGGAAAAGGAUGUGGCGUUGCCCAGACAACUAGGAUGUUGGCUUAGAAGCAGCCAUCAUUUAAAGAGUGCGUAAUAGCUCACUAGUCGAGUGACACUGCGCCGAAAAUGUACCGGGGCUAAACAUAUUACCGAAGCUGUGGAUUGUCCUUUGGACAAUGGUAGGAGAGCGUUCUAAGGGCGUUGAAGCAUGAUCGUAAGGACAUGUGGAGCGCUUAGAAGUGAGAAUGCCGGUGUGAGUAGCGAAAGACGGGUGAGAAUCCCGUCCACCGAUUGACUAAGGUUUCCAGAGGAAGGCUCGUCCGCUCUGGGUUAGUCGGGUCCUAAGCUGAGGCCGACAGGCGUAGGCGAUGGAUAACAGGUUGAUAUUCCUGUACCACCUAUAAUCGUUUUAAUCGAUGGGGGGACGCAGUAGGAUAGGCGAAGCGUGCGAUUGGAUUGCACGUCUAAGCAGUAAGGCUGAGUAUUAGGCAAAUCCGGUACUCGUUAAGGCUGAGCUGUGAUGGGGAGAAGACAUUGUGUCUUCGAGUCGUUGAUUUCACACUGCCGAGAAAAGCCUCUAGAUAGAAAAUAGGUGCCCGUACCGCAAACCGACACAGGUAGUCAAGAUGAGAAUUCUAAGGUGAGCGAGCGAACUCUCGUUAAGGAACUCGGCAAAAUGACCCCGUAACUUCGGGAGAAGGGGUGCUCUUUAGGGUUAACGCCCAGAAGAGCCGCAGUGAAUAGGCCCAAGCGACUGUUUAUCAAAAACACAGGUCUCUGCUAAACCGUAAGGUGAUGUAUAGGGGCUGACGCCUGCCCGGUGCUGGAAGGUUAAGAGGAGUGGUUAGCUUCUGCGAAGCUACGAAUCGAAGCCCCAGUAAACGGCGGCCGUAACUAUAACGGUCCUAAGGUAGCGAAAUUCCUUGUCGGGUAAGUUCCGACCCGCACGAAAGGCGUAACGAUUUGGGCACUGUCUCAACGAGAGACUCGGUGAAAUCAUAGUACCUGUGAAGAUGCAGGUUACCCGCGACAGGACGGAAAGACCCCGUGGAGCUUUACUGUAGCCUGAUAUUGAAAUUCGGCACAGCUUGUACAGGAUAGGUAGGAGCCUUUGAAACGUGAGCGCUAGCUUACGUGGAGGCGCUGGUGGGAUACUACCCUAGCUG